GACGAACGCUGGCGGCGUGCCUAAUACAUGCAAGUCGAACGCUUCUUUCCUCCCGAGUGCUUGCACUCAAUUGGAAAGAGGAGUGGCGGACGGGUGAGUAACACGUGUGUAACCUACCCAUCAGUGGGGGAUAACACUUGGAAACAGGUGCUAAUACCGCACAACAGUUUAUGCCGCAUGGCAUAAGAGUGAAUGGCGCUUUCGGGUGUCGCUGAUGGAUGGACCCGCGGUGCAUUAGCUAGUUGGUGAGGUAACGGCUCACCAAGGCCACGAUGCAUAGCCGACCUGUGAGGGUGAUAGGCCACACGGGGACUGAGACACGGCCCAGACUCCUACGGGAGGCAGCAGUAGGGAAUCUUCGGCAAUGGACGAAAGUCUGACCGAGCAACGCCGCGUGAGUGAAGAAGGUUUUCGGAUCGUAAAACUCUGUUGUUAGAGAAGAACAAGGACGUUAGUAACUGAACGUCCCCUGACGGUAUCUAACCAGAAAGCCACGGCUAACUACGUG
rnacentral:rRNA from 1 species